UAAACCAAGCACAGGGCCUGUCUAAG
rnacentral:piRNA from 1 species